GCCCGUCACACCAUGAGAGUUGGGAAUACCCGAAGCCUGUGAGCUAACUUAAAGAGGCAGCAGUCGAAGGUAGAGCCAAUGAUUGGGUGAAGUCGUAACAAGGUAGC
rnacentral:rRNA from 1 species